AGAACGUGAUAAACUACUGGAGGAGGAGAAGAGAAUUCAACAAGUGAACACACCAUCAACAGAAGAAAAAAAAACCUGUCUUUUACAAUGAGGUGCAGGUGAAGGAGUGAACUGAGUGGUAUUUAGUCCAUUAACAUGAUGAGGUGGAACAGUCUAAGUGUGGAGUCUGGAGUGUGGAUCAUCAAGAGGGUCUGGUCUCCUUUUAUGAUGUGGAGUCCAUGUCUCAUAACUACUCUUACCCAAAAGUUUCCCAAAAGCAACUAGGUCACAAGUUCCAUCAUUACUAAUAGAGUUCAAUGGAACUAAUGACUAGUAAGCUAAUGACGGUUUUGAGAAGCCCCCGGUUAGUCUUUAGAUCAGAAACUUUAUCAUAAACUUUUCUGUAUUCAUUAUGUGUCUCACAUAGCCAGACUUUUGACUGUUGACAUAAAUUAUGAUCCACAUUUAGACAUGAAUUAUGAGACAAUCUGACUGACAUGUUGAGCAGACAUUUAGGGGUGUGUGAAUCUGAAAUUGAUUAUACUACAACAAUAGACCGAUGUUCACCAGUACCAGAUAUGCAUAAGUUAGGCUACAUACAAUAUCUCUCAAAAGCAAACCUAUCUCAGACUGAGCUGUGUAGUUGUAAUCAUCUCUUAGCUCUGUGUCAUUCUUGAAGAAAAACUUGGUCUCUGUUUGCACUUUGAAUAUUGAGAGAAUAAGUUAAUUAUUGUUUGCAAUUAAUAAGACAAAAAAAAAUCUGAUUUAUUUUUGUGAUUUAUACAGUUUUUUUUUUUUUGCUUAAUUUGUGGAAAGGAGUUCAGUAAGGAUGUCACAACAGUUUCAAUCAGUUCUAGAAGCUCAUAAUUCAUGUUCAAUUCUAAGAUCUGAAGAGACUCUUCUGAAGUGAAAUCACACAGGAGAGAAGUCAGUCAGUUGAG